rnacentral:rRNA from 1 species
GUGUCAGCCGCCGCGGUAAUACGUAGGUGGCAAGCGAUACUCGGAUUUAUUGGGCGUAAAGAGAAUUCAGGCGGUCAUGUAAGUCAGUGGUGAAAUACCUCGGCUCAACUGAGGAAUUGCCUUUGAUACUGCGUGACUCGAGGACAGGAGAGGAAGGCGGAAUUCCCGGUGUAGCGGUGGAAUGCGUAGAUAUCGGGAGGAACACCUGAGGCGAAGGCGGCUUUCUGGACUGGUCCUGACGCUGAUAUUCGAAAGCUAGGGGAGCAAACAGGAUUAGAUACCCUGGUAGUCCUAGCUGUAAACGAUGGAUACUAGAUCUUGCAUGAUUUUGCUGGGUCGAAGCUAACGCGUUAAGUAUCCCGCCGGGGGAGUACGGUCGCAAGGCUGAAACUUAAAUGAAUUGACGGGG